CACAUAUGAAGACCAGCUAUAACUCGCUCAUCUGAGGCUCUUUUCUUCUAAUGGCGUCUUCUCUCCCCUCAUCUCUCUCACCUAUCCUGAGCCAGCCUCACCGCUCCCUCAAAAUCCAAGGUCGAUGCUUCUUUUUAGGCUUCAGAUUUCUCUUCUCCAAAACCCCCCAAGUUUACGAUUCCCGUUGCCACGGCAAUUUCGCCCACUGGACUCUCAAAACAAAGAGCUUAUUUCUUCAUCUCUCCAGAAGCUUGUCUCACUCUCACCAUUCUUUGUCUAAUAAGACCGACGUUCUAGGUCUUCACCACUUCGUCGCACAGGCUGCUCUUUCUACUGCCCAAACACAGCCCAACCUUGUACCAGCUGCAGAAGUUUCUCCAGAGUCUGAAAUUCAUCCAAGAGGCC
rnacentral:misc_RNA from 1 species